CAGCAGCCGCGGGAAAACGAAGGGGGCUAGCGUUGUUCGGAUUUACUGGGCGUAAAGCGCACGUAGGCGGACUUUUAAGUCAGGGGUGAAAUCCCGGGGCUCAACCCCGGAACUGCCUUUGAUACUGGAAGUCUUGAGUAUGGUAGAGGUGAGUGGAAUUCCGAGUGUAGAGGUGAAAUUCGUAGAUAUUCGGAGGAACACCAGUGGCGAAGGCGGCUCACUGGACCAUUACUGACGCUGAGGUGCGAAAGCGUGGGGAGCAAACAGGAUUAGAUACCCCCGUAGUCCCUGUCUCUUAUAC
rnacentral:rRNA from 1 species